ensembl:lncRNA LINC02465 long intergenic non-protein coding RNA 2465
GACUAUCAGGAACCAUGGCUCACUGGAGCACCAUCUUUGGAGUCUAGCUAACACAGCAUCUUGGAUGCACUCCUAAGAGAAGACUACCUGAAAGGCGUGUACACUGGUCUAGCAGUUGAGAUCAGCUAGUGUUCCAUCUAUCUUCUGUCAUGUAUCUCUUCUAAGAUGUCUUGAUCGACUGACCCCAAAGCCAGAGGGUACCAGGUCAAAAAGCAAGAAAACAAACAAUACUGACAUUAGAGAGAAGCAAAGUUUCUAUAGAAAACCUAUUACACUGUGGUAUAAAUCAAGAUGAACCUGCAGACAUCUAUUUUAGUUUGGAAGUCUGGAAAAGUUCAAGAUUGGCCAUCUGCAGCUGGUGAGAGCCUCAGGCUGCUUCCCCUCAUGGUGGAAGGUGAAGGGGAGCUGGUGUGUGCAGAGAUUACAUGCUUUUCUAGGUCAUCAUUCUAGGCUUUGUUGAAGCAUGCAUUUUUGGCAUGAGGGUGGCAGCCUUUGCACUAUGUGCAUGGCUGAGGAGUUAGGAUCUGGAGGGUGAUGAAAGCAAAGGUGCUGCUGGUUACUCUUGGUUCAUCUAGCAAUAGAUGAUCUGAAUGUUAGAGUUCGCCAAAUAUUGUUCCUGGGCAGUCUUUGCUCUACCAAAUCAACUUUCUCCAUGGGGGAGCUAGAAGUCACCCCACAUUCUCCGCCAUGGCCAGCUCUACAUUCUAAGAGAACCAAUGGCUCUACCCAACAUAUUCUUCUCACCACAGAUGACAAAGACACAAGGAGCCAAGACAGAUCAUUCAAGCAUAUUCAUUGCCUCUAUCUUCAUCCCAUUAAAUAACAUCCCGCCAACCAAAGCAAGUUAUCUGCAUAAGAAUAAAUAUUCCACCUACUCUACUGCAAGGCCCUGCAAGAGUCAUGAGACAAAAGGAUCCUCUGUGGACAGCACCCAAGAUGGAAACAACUGACAGUCUAUGGCCAGGGCUAUACUCUGGUGAAACUGAAAGGUGUCUGCAUGGAAGUGUCUGACUACCACCAUCCACUCAGGCAAAUGCAUUUGUUUCCCUCUAUUCAUUAUUAGAAGAGAGGAGAUUACAUACCAGACAUAUACCAAUAGUCAUCAACAACUCACAUUGACACCUCAGAGAGCAAAAUUCUGGCAAUGGGUCAUCCUUCAAUGAAUAAGUAGUCAUUAAAAUUCUACUAUAUGCAAAGCAACAUGCCAGCUAUUUUGAAGCAUUCAAAGAAAGGUUUUCUCUUCAUAAUACCUACGUCAUCUAGUAGCAUAACAUAAGGCAGAAUCCUUCAAAGGUUGACUCCUAGAGAUGGAAGAGCUGUAAGCAGAGACAGAAAAGUAAUAAAAAUAGACAACUCUUGGAAACACAUGCUUCCUCUUCAAUGGGGACAAAGUUUUAGGAAUGCCAAAAGAAGAGGUUAGAAGAGCAAUUAGAAGACAAGCGUGAAUAAAUGAAUCUUUAAAAUGCAUCUAAAA